rnacentral:rRNA from 1 species
AGUGGCGGACGGGUGAGUAACGCGUGAGAAUCUGCCUUCAGGAGGGGGACAACAGUUGGAAACGGCUGCUAAUACCCCGUAAGUCUACGGAUAAAACGGUUAAUUCCGCCUGAAGAUGAGCUCGCGUCGGAUUAGCUAGUUGGUGGGGUAAGGGCUUACCAAGGCGACGAUCCGUAGCUGGUCUGAGAGGAUGAUCAGCCACACUGGGACUGAGACACGGCCCAGACUCCUACGGGAGACAGCAGUGGGGAAUUUUCCGCAAUGGGCGAAAGCCUGACGGAGCAACGCCGCGUGCGGGAGGACGGCCUGUGGGUUGUAAACCGCUUUUCUCAGGGAAGAGGAUCUGACGGUACCUGAGGAAUCAGCAUCGGCUAACUCCGUGCCAGCAGCCGCGGUAAUACGGAGGAUGCAAGCGUUAUCCGGAUUUAUUGGGCGUAAAGCGUCCGCAGGCGGCUAAUCAAGUCUGCUGUUAAAGGCCGAGGCUUAACUUCGGUUGAGCAGUGGAAACUGAUUAGCUAGAGUGCGAUAGGGGUAGAGGGAAUUCCCAGUGUAGCGGUGAAAUGCGUAGAUAUUGGGAAGAACACCAGUGGCGAAGGCGCUCUACUGGGUCGCAACUGACGCUGAGGGACGAAAGCUAGGGGAGCGAAAGGGAUUAGAUACCCC